AACACGAGGAAGGCGCUGCUUCGCGUUCACAUGAAAAUGUGGUAGUGUGAAAUCAAGUUUGCAAGCGGUAGGACGCGUCGGUGUGUGUCCGUUUUUUCUCUCGUGAAACCAGUACGGAAAAACUAUUUGAAAUCGUAACACACGCACGAACGGAAGUGAGCACGGACCACAACAGAAGCAAUAUUCAAUUGGUUGGAGUGCCGAAAACAGAACAGGAGAGGAAAGAAGGCAGGAACGAUUCGAUCCUCCAACGUGCUAGCGCCUGGUAGAGGAGAAGCGGCAGGAAGGUAGAGACGAACAUCCAGCUCGCUAGUGCAGCACGUGGGAGCAGCAAGAGGG